GUGAACGUUACCAAACUGUUGCCUCGGCGGGAUCUCUGCCCCGGGUGCGUCGCAGCCCCGGACCAAGGCGCCCGCCGGAGGACCAACCAAAACUCUUUUGUAUACCCCCUCGCGGGUUUUUAUAUAUCUGAGCCAUCUCGGCGCCUCUCGUAGGCGUUUCGAAAAUGAAUCAAAACUUUCAACAACGGAUCUCUUGGUUCUGGCAUCGAUGAAGAACGCAGCGAAAUGCGAUAAGUAAUGUGAAUUGCAGAAUUCAGUGAAUCAUCGAAUCUUUGAACGCACAUUGCGCCCGCCAGUAUUCUGGCGGGCAUGCCUGUCCGAGCGUCAUUUCAACCCUCGAACCCCUCCGGGGGGUCGGCGUUGGGGAUCGGCCCUUUACGGGGCCGGCCCCGAAAUACAGUGGCGGUCUCGCCGCAGCCUCUCCUGCGCAGUAGUUUGCACACUCGCAUCGGGAGCGCGGCGCGUCCAUUGCCGUUAAACACCCAACUUUCUGAAAUGUUGACCUCGGAUCAGGUAGGAAUACCCGCUGAACUUAAGCAUAUCAAUAAGCGGAGG
rnacentral:rRNA from 1 species